rnacentral:tRNA from 1 species
CGGGGCGUGGCGCAGUCUGGUAGCGCAUCUGGUUUGGGACCAGAGGGCCGUAGGUUCGAAUCCUAUCGCCCCGACCA